CAAGAUGAGGGGAGCAAGCCUUUAGGACCCACCACGACCCCGGCACCGUUUCUCCGCCGCCUCAGAACGAACCCACUUUCCGAUCGAAGAGACAAGACGGCGGAAGAGGAGGAGAGGCGGUGGAUACGAACAGGAUUCCGGUGACGGACGAGGCGCGCCAUUGCUUCAACCGGUAUCUACAGUACCACAAAUGUCUGGAAAGGAAGGGCAGGGAUGAGAACGAGUGCAAGAACUUGGCAGAUUACGUGCGUUUGUUAUGCCCUGCAGAAUUGGUGGAGAGAUGGGACGAGCAGAGAAAACAUGAACUUUGCCUGCUUCUAUAUAAAGGGAUUGACAUUGUCUCCCUCCACUGCUUGAUUUGGAAUUAUAUCAAAAAUAUCCUUAAAAUGCUACUUCUACUUCAACACCUACCCUUGUGACCAUGUGACCAAUGUGAC